AAUUUUAUCACAACCCAAAACGAAAUUCAAGAAUGGUGACAAAUUUUUUUUUUGAAGUUAUACGUUUGAUUACAAAAUCAAUUAAUAUUUACUUUUUGUAGAGAUGAUUCAUCGCAUUAUUUAAAUAAUCUCUUGUACUUUUAUCAUACCCCAAAUAAGCCUUUAAAGUCUAAAUAACCCUCAAGUUUUUUACCUGUAUCUAGAUAAGUUUUAGCAUUCAAUUUAUAGGAAAAUAUUUAGUAUAUUGAUAAUAGAGGUUUUAGACUUCACAACUUGACAAAUUUUUAUCAGUAAAAACUCAUCGGCUAUGCUUCACCCUUUCAAUCUCAUUCCCAUUUAACUGACUCACUUUUUCUUCUUACCAUUACAAAAAUAGAAGCAAAAGCAAAGCUCCCUCAGUUUAUUUUGUUCUCUUUUCCUCAAUCUCACAAUCCACUAUCUGUUUUGCCCUUUGCUCGAUUUCGUAAUCUUCUUCGGGUUUUGCCUAUCGAGAAGAUGAGUGAAUGUUAGAGUAUAGAUAAAGACUCUAUUAGUUUAUUAGUUGUUAGUCUGUUAUACAAGCAGUUAUGCUGUUAACUGAAAUUGUUAGUAGCAAUUACUCAUACACAUAUUAUCAAUACUAUUGUUAUACUGGUUAAAUUCAAGAUAAUAAUACAAAAAUCAUUCUCUGCAUAUUCUAUUUUUCUUUCAACUUAAUGUAGAUAUUAACAUAAAGCAGGGUUGUGCCGUAUGCCUACUUUUUUAUUGUCUUACAUUAUAGAUGUGCUUUUUACUUGCAGAGUUUAAAGCAAGGUAGUAUAAGUCAGCCAAAACCUGGGGAUUAAGCUUUGACUUUUUAAAUAUGCUACUAUGAAGGGAAUGAAGAUGGCAGUGAUCGGUGUAAGAAAAACAGAUGAGGAAACAGAGAGUCAAGAGGGAAUUAAUGGCAGAUCUUUGGAAAGGCCAUUAUGCUUGGAAUUUUAGCUAUUCAAAAAAGAGAGGGAAUGAAGAUGGCAGUGAUCGGCGUAAGAAAAACAGAUGAGGAAAUAGAAAGUCAAGAGGGAAUUAAUGGCAGAUCUUUGGAAAGGCCAUUAUGCUUGGAAUUUUAGCUAUACAAAAAAGAGAGGAAUAAAAAUCUGUAGGUGUUUAGCUUAGCUGAACAUGUUAUGCGGCUGCAAUGUGGUGUUUGUGUCUUGAAACAAGCGAUGCGAUUUUCUAUAGCCAUUUGCUGCGUACAGUAAGUCUUCGUUGUGAAUUUACAGUCACUGUUUUGGGAGAAUGAUGUUAAGGGGGUGCUGGAACUCCAGCAAUCGUAAAACGUGGCUGUGAUUCGAGCUAUUAUACUGUGCUUGAAGCUUCGAACUAGAGCAUGACAGUUUCAUUGCGUAUCAAUUCAACCUCAGAUUCUUUGGGGGACGUAUCCGAGCUAAUUAAUUGGUCCAUCAAGUGAAAGAUAUCGAUUUUUGAAAAUGUCUUGCUAAGGCAGCGGCCAAGGAUGGGGUGGAUUGGAUUUUAAUGUUUAUGGAAUGGUAUUUAUUGGCAUUAUACAUUAUGUUGUACUGUUGUUUUUUGUUUACUGUGUUGCUUGUAAGCUGUAACUUUUACACUUGGUUUCCUUUAUUUUAUAUGAUCUUCAAACGAUGUUUAAUCAAAAAUUUUCCACUUGAUUGUAGACUUCA